AUUGAACGCUGGCGGCAGGCCUAACACAUGCAAGUCGAACGAGUGGCGGACGGGUGAGUAAUGUCUGGGAAACUGCCUGGUGGAGGGGGAUAACUACUGGAAACGGUAGCUAAUACCGCAUACCAUCAGAUGUGCCCAGAUGGGAUUAGCUAGUUGGUGGGGUAACGGCUUACCAAGGCGACGAUCCCUAGCUGAGCUGAGAGGAUGACCAGCCACAUUGGGACUGAGACACGGUCCAAACUCCUACGGGAGGCAGCAGUAGGGAAUAUUGCACAAUGGACGCAAGACUGAUGCAGCAACGCCGCGUGUAUGAAGAAGGCCUUCGGGUUGUAAAGUACUGUCAGCGGGGAGGCGAUAACCGACGAAAAAGCACCGGCUAACUCCGUGCCAGCAGCCGCGGUAAUAC
rnacentral:rRNA from 1 species